AGGAAGUUCCAGGUGAGAGGUGAGUCGGGAGGAAGUAGGUAGAAGACAUUUUGGAAGUGGCAGCUGAGGAGAGAAGCCCUCAUAGAUCACAUGACCACACCAAUAAAAAUGAAGGAGAACCGGAGUCACAUGACUGAGAAGAUACUAAACCUCACCCUGGAGAUCAUCUACCUGCUGACCGGAGAGAGAUUUCCUCUUGUGU